AUUGAACGCUGGCGGCAUGCCUUACACAUGCAAGUCGAACGGUAGAGGGCUUCGGCCCUUGAGAGUGGCGAACGGGUGAGUAGAGCAUCGGAACGUACCCUGUCGAGGGGGAUAACGUAGCGAAAGUUACGCUAAUACCGCAUGAGACCUUAGGGUGAAAGUGGGGGGACUGGAAACGGCCUCACGCGAUGGGAGCGGCCGAUGUCGGAUUAGCUAGUUGGUGGGGUAAAGGCCUACCAAGGCGACGAUCCGUAGCGGGUCUGAGAGGAUGAUCCGCCACACUGGGACUGAGACACGGCCCAGACUCCUACGGGAGGCAGCAGUGGGGAAUUUUGGACAAUGGGCGCAAGCCUGAUCCAGCCAUGCCGCGUGGGGUGAAGAAGGCCUGGUGUAAGCCUUCGCGGACGGAAAGUACGUAGCGGGCGGAACGA
rnacentral:rRNA from 1 species